UCUACGGGUGGCAGCAGUGAGGAAUAUUGGUCAAUGGGCGUAAGCCUGAACCAGCCAAGUCGCGUGAGGGAUGAAGGUUCUAUGGAUCGUAAACCUCUUUUAUAAGGGAAUAAAGUGUGGGACGUGUCCUGUUUUGUAUGUACCUUAUGAAUAAGGAUCGGCUAACUCCGUGCCAGCAGCCGCGGUAAUACGGAGGAUCCGAGCGUUAUCCGGAUUUAUUGGGGUUAAAGGGUGCGUAGGCGGCCUUUUAAGUCAGCGGUGAAAGUAUUGGGCUUAACCAUAGAAUUGCCGUUGAAACUGGGAAGAUUGAGUAUGUUUGAGGCAGGCGGAAUGCGUGGUGUAGAGGGGAAAUGCUUAGAUAUCACGCAGAACCCCGAGUGCGAAGGCAGCCUGCCAAGCCAUGACUGACGCUGAUGCACGAAAGCGUGGGGAUCAAACAGGAUUAGAUACCCUUGUAGUC
rnacentral:rRNA from 1 species